CGGCCCCCGGGACGGGGCCCUUAAAGGGCCAGCGCCGCCGCUCUGCAACUCCGCCUGCAGUCGCGAUACGGUAGAGACUAUAUGGACCAAGCGAGCGCGGCGCCAAGGAGAUUUAAAAGUUGCCUUCAGAAAUUGAGGUUUCUUCAUAGCUGCGCUCUUUGUGGUGGCCCAAAACUGGAAAACGAGGGGAUGCCCAUCAAUUGGGGAAUGGCUGAACAAACUGUGGUAUAUGUUGGUGAUGGAGUACUAUUGUGCGAAAAGGAAUAAUAAAGUGGAGAAGUUCCAUGGAGACUGGAACAACCUCCAGGAAGUGAUGCAGAGCGAGAGGAGCAGGACCAGGAGAACAUUGUACACAGAGACUAAUACACUGUGGUAUAAUCGAACGUAAUGGACUUCUCCAUUAGUGGCGGUGUAAUGUCCCUGAACAACUUGCAGGGAUCCAGGAGAAAAAAACACCAUUCAUAAGCAAAGGAUAAACUAUGGGAGUAGAAACACCGAGAAAAAGCAACUGAAUACAGAGGUUGAGGGGACAUGACAGAGGAUAGACUCUAAAUGAACACUCUAAUGCAAAUACUAUCAACAAAGCAAUGGGUUCAAAUCAAGAAAACAUCUAAUGCCCAGUGGACUUACGCGUCGGCUAUGGGGGAUGGGGGGGGGGAGGAAAAGAAAAUGAUCUAAGUCUUUAACGAAUAAUGCUUGGAAAUGAUC